ACGACUGCAAUAGACAUAUUUAGAUCGAGACGCGGACGUCAAAGACGACGUGAAAAUGGCGUCAAAAUGGUGUGGCAUAUCCAUACAUGGGCACAACACGUCAUUUUCACGUCGUCUUUGACGUCCGCGUCCUCGAUCUAAAUCUGUCUAAUAUUGGACGU